AUUCUUUCUGCAGGGGUCAUGGUGGAGGCGAUCACUCCCAUUUGGGAAAUGAUUCCUUGCAGGAAGCCUGGCUGUUGGAACAAGCAAGUUAAAGGAACAGUUUCAUUUGUGCCUUAAUGAAGUUCCGGCAGCCUUCAGGACAGCUCUGCAGCAUCUGUUCCAGAAUUUCAUGAGGACUACGGAAGAACAGGAUGUAGGUGUUAAGAUUGAAAGAUUUUGUAAAAACAAAGAUUUUUUAUUCCAAAUGCAGUGUUACGGGACGGGAGCUUUUUUACAGGAGGAGAGUCAGAAGGUGGCAGGGGGUUGAUGCAAUCAACCAAUGUAGGGGAUGGCAUCGCUGUUGUACCUUGAUGCUGUGAUGUCUUUCAUCCUACUCCUCCAACCCCCUACAAACACACCACCCUAAUUAUGUAGCUGUAGUUGGUAGUAUAGUGCAAUGAUGAUGUAUUGUAGUGUAGUGGUAUAGUAUAUUGUAGAAAAGGUUCAUAUUGUAGUAUUGAUGUAAUUGUUAUAUUUUAGGUUCAUAUUGUUGUCAUUCUGUUGAGACACCCCCUCCCACUAUCCUUAACACACACAUACACACCCACCCCUUCAUUCUUUAGGUUAGUUGUAGUUAGUUAUGGGUAGCACCUGUGAAUGUGCUUUCGUGUGUCUUCCUCAGUCCUGUCUCCACCACAAUUUCCCUCCCUUGUCCCUGCACCCCUUUAUCUCUCAUGCUUUUCAUAUGCUGUUCUAUUUGGUGCAGAACUGUAAAUAUAUCACCUUUAAUAAAUCAUUGCAAUGUUCAACAUCUGAUAAAGAGAAAUCAAUUUGAUUCAGGAUUAAGUGAUAUGUGUAGACUUCCAUAUGCAAUGUCAUUAGGCCACAUUAUAUGGUAACUCUGAAGAAACCCAUUCAGUCUGUAGAGGCUGAUUCAGUGAAUUAGUUACCAUAGUUAAAAUACUAAAAAAAACAUUAAUGCAGUAAUGGAAGAGUCCCCCCUCCCAGCACGUAUCAUUGGGAUCUGUGGUAGCCCACGCAACUUGGCUGAGUUGGACAUUAGCCAACUUUCCCUCUAACGAGAACCCCUUAAAUUCAGAUAGACUCUG